ACAUGUCAUGUGUGUUGUGACUGCCAGUGGAAAACAAACACAUAGGUUGUAGUCAAAAGCAAUCAAACCAUUCAUUCAGUACAGGACACUAACAACAAAGCUUUGAGAAACAAACACAUAGGUUGUAGUCAAAAGCAAUCAAACCAUUCAUUCAGUACAGGACACUAACAACAAAGCUUUGAGAAACAAACACAUAGGUUGUAGUCAAAAGCAAUCAAACCAUUCAUUCAGUACAGGACACUAACAACAAAGCUUUGAGAAACAAACACAUAGGUUGUAGUCAAAAGCAAUCAAACCAUUCAUUCAGUACAGGACACUAACAACAAAGCUUUGAGAAACAAACACAUAGGUUGUAGUCAAAAGCAAUCAAACCAUUCAUUCAGUACAGGACACUAACAACAAAGCUUUGAGAAACAAACACAUAGGUUGUAGUCAAAAGCAAUCAAACCAUUCAUUCAGUACAGGACACUAACAACAAAGCUUUGAGAAACAAACACAUAGGUUGUAGUCAAAAGCAAUCAAACCAUUCAUUCAGUACAGGACACUAACAACAAAGCUUUGAGAAACAAACACAUAGGUUGUAGUCAAAAGCAAUCAAACCAUUCAUUCAGUACAGGACACUAACAACAAAGCUUUGAGAAACAAACACAUAGGUUGUAGUCAAAAGCAAUCAAACCAUUCAUUCAGUACAGGACACUAACAACAAAGCUUUGAGAAACAAACACAUAGGUUGUAGUCAAAAGCAAUCAAACCAUUCAUUCAGUACAGGACACUAACAACAAAGCUUUGAGAAACAAACACAUAGGUUGUAGUCAAAAGCAAUCAAACCAUUCAUUCAGUACAGGACACUAACAACAAAGCUUUGAGAAACAAACACAUAGGUUGUAGUCAAAAGCAAUCAAACCAUUCAUUCAGUACAGGACACUAACAACAAAGCUUUGAGAAACAAACACAUAGGUUGUAGUCAAAAGCAAUCAAACCAUUCAUUCAGUACAGGACACUAACAACAAAGCUUUGAGAA